rnacentral:piRNA from 1 species
CNCAGGGGACAUAGAUGACCUUUAACCUG